UACGAAGGGGGCUAGCGUUGCUCGGAAUUACUGGGCGUAAAGCGCACGUAGGCGGAUCUUUAAGUCAGGGGUGAAAUCCUGGAGCUCAACUCCAGAACUGCCUUUGAUACUGAGGACCUUGAGUUCGGGAGAGGUGAGUGGAACUGCGAGUGUAGAAGUGAAAUUCGUAGAUAUUCGCAAGAACACCAGUGGCGAAGACAGCUCACUGGCCCGAUACUGACGCUGAAGUACGAAAGCGUAGAGAGCAAACAGG
rnacentral:rRNA from 1 species